GCUGGUAUCGUCUAGAGGCCCAGGACACCCGCCUUUCACGCGGACGACGUAGGGUUCGAAUCCCACUACCAGCUCCA
rnacentral:tRNA from 1 species